rnacentral:rRNA from 1 species
GACGAACGCUGGCGGCGUGCUUAACACAUGCAAGUCGAACGGAAAGGCCCUGCUUUUGUGGGGUGCUCGAGUGGCGAGCGGGUGAGGAACACGUGAGUAACCUGCCCUUGACUUUGGGAUAACUUCAGGGAACUGGGGCUAAUACCGGAUAGGAGCUCCUGCUGCAUGGUGGGGGUUGGAAAGUUUCGGCGGUUGGGGAUGGACUCGCGGCUUAUCAGCGUGUUGGUGGGGUAGUGGCUUACCAAGGCUUUGACGGGUAGCCGGCCUGAGAGGGUGACCGGCCACAUUGGGACUGAGAUACGGCCCAGACUCCUACGGGAGGCAGCAGUGGGGAAUAUUGCACAAUGGGCGGAAGCCUGAUGCAGUAACGCCGCGUGCGGGAUGACGGCCUUCGGGUUGUAAACCGCUUUCGCCUGUGACGAAGCGUGAGUGACGGUAACGAGUAAAGAAGCACCGGCUAACUACGUG